rnacentral:rRNA from 1 species
AUGGAGGGUAGUGACCGAUGGGCUUCGGCCAUGCCUGGCUCCGUUCUCCAGGGAGCGGCUGCGGUGUUAGCUUCGUUAUUAAUCCUUUGGUUAUUCAGAUGGUACUGCAGUAGCUCAAUCACGGCAAAAGGGAGGCUGCCGCCGGGGUCCAGGGGUCUCCCCGUCCUCGGGGAGACCCUCCAGUUCUUCGCCGGGAGCCCAUCUCUGGAGCUGCACCCGUUCUUCAAGCGACGCCUUGAAAGGUACGGCCCGAUUUUCAGGACGAAUUUGAUCGGCGUAGACCUCAUCGUUUCCCUCGACGCGGAGCUGAACAACCUGGUGUUCCAGCAAGACGAGAGGCUCUUCGAGAACUGGUGGCCGGAGUCGGUGAUGAGGAUCUUCGGCGCCGAGAGCAUCAUCCCAUCCAUGGGGUCCUUCCACAAGCACGCCAAGAACCUCAUCCUCCGGAUCUUCGGCCCCGAGAACCUCAGGCUGGUCCUGCUCCAGGACGUGCAGAGGACGGCUCAGGCGAGCCUGCUCUCGUGGCUUGACCUGCCAAGCGUCGAGCUCAAGGAGGCGACCUCCAGUAUGAUAUUCAGCGUGACAGCCAAGAGACUCAUCAGCUACGACUCCUCAAGUUCAGACGGGAAGCUGUGGAAACAGUUCGACGCGUUCAUUCGGGGGCUCCUAGCGUUUCCACUUUACAUUCCUGGGACAGCCUUCUACCAGUGUAUGCAGGGGCGCAAGGAAGUCAUGAAGAUACUGCGUAAACUUUUCGAUGAAAGGAAAAAGGCACCUUCUCGACUGGAAAAAGUUGAUUUUAUUGAUCUCUUGAUCGACACUAUCAAGGAGGACAAGCUUGCAAUGAGCGACAAUUUUGCACUGAAUUUGAUCUUCCUGCUGCUCUUCGCUGGCUUCGAGACAACGUCGUCCGGGAUAACUGCUGCAAUCAAGUUUCUGACAGACAAUCCCAAGGCCUUGCAAGAACUAACGGACGAACAUGAGAACAUUCGGAAAAGAAGGGCAAGUCCUGAUGCUGAAAUCACAUGGGAGGAAUACAAAUCCAUGAAAUUUACAUCUUGUGUCAUACACGAGUCAUUAAGAAUGGCCAAUAUUGCUCCAUUAUUAUUUAAGAAAGCAAGAGAGGAUGUUCACAUAAAAGCUUACACUAUCCCAAAAGGAUCAAAGGUCAUGGUUUGUCCUUCCAUUGUUCACCUUAAUCCUACUAUUUAUGAGGACCCCAAUGUAUUCAACCCUUGGAGGUGGAAGGAAAUUGCCGAGCCACUUGGUGGAGCCUCCAAAGACUUCAUGGCCUUCGGAGGAGGUUUGCGAUUAUGUGUUGGUGCUGAGUUUGCUAAGUUGCAAAUGGCUAUUUUCCUCCAUUCCUUAGUUACUAAAUACAGGUGGAAAGCGAUUAAGGGGGGCAUCAUGGUGCUUUCUCCAGGGCUACGGUUUCCUGAUGGUUUUCACAUCCAGCUUAUCCACAAAUCUUGA